CAGCUGCAUAUUAGAUAUUACAAUGAAGACCUGAGUGGUUUUGCUGGAACUGUUUUUCCAAAACUGACAAAGAAUGAUAAGCUUCCAUCCGAGGAUGAUAUAACCACUGCAGUCAACAUGGGAACCUCUAGAGAAAUCAGGAAGACUUCACAAAACAUGAUGUGAUGUCUACUGGUGAAGACA